rnacentral:rRNA from 1 species
UUAGUUGCCAGCAUUCAGUUGGGCACUCUAAGGUGACUGCGGCUAAAAGUCGGAGGAAGGUGGGGAUGACGUCAAAUCAUCAUGCCCCUUAUGACCUGGGCUACACACGUGCUACAAUGGGCGGUACAAAGGGUCGCGAACCCGCGAGGGGGAGCCAAUCCCAAAAAGCCGCUCUCAGUUCGGAUUGCAGGCUGCAACUCGCCUGCAUGAAGCCGGAAUCGCUAGUAAUCGCGGAUCAGCAUGCCGCGGUGAAUACGUUCCCGGGCCUU